CCUACGGGAGGCAGCAGUGAGGAAUAUUGGUCAAUGGGCGCAAGCCUGAACCAGCCAAGUCGCGUGCAGGAAGACGGCCCUAUGGAUUGUAAACUGCUUUUGCAGGGGAGCAAAAAGCGGUACGUGUAGCGCAUUGAGAGUACCCUAAGAAAAAGCACCGGCUAACUCCGUGCCAGCAGCCGCGGUAAUACGGAGGAUUCGUGCGUUAUCCGGAUUUAUUGGGGUUAAAGGGAGGGGAGGGCGGAGAGCAAGGCCGGGGUGAAAAUUCCGGGCUCAACCCCGGCCUGGCAGUUGAAACUGGGGUGCUUGAGUGCGCGAGAGGCAUGCGGAAUGCGGGGUGUAGCGGUGAAAUGCGUAGAUAUGCCGACGAACACCGAUGGCGAAGGCAGCAUGCUGGAGCGGAACUGACGCUGAGGCUCGAAAGCGUGGGUAUCGAACAGGAUUAGAUACCCGAGUAGUC
rnacentral:rRNA from 1 species